rnacentral:tRNA from 1 species
UAUUAUAACAUUAGAAUGUACCGAAUGUCGAACAAAUAAUAAUAAACGUUCAACUGGUGUUU